CCUACGGGUGGCAGCAGUAGGGAAUAUUGCACAAUGGGGGAAACCCUGAUGCAGCGACGCCGCGUGAAUGAAGAAGGUUUUCGGUUUGUAAAGCUCUAUCAUCAGGGAAGAAAAUGACGGUAUCUGACCAAGAAGCACCGGCUAACUCCGUGCCAGCAGCCGCGGUAAUACGGAGGGUGCAAGCGUUACUCGGAUUUACUGGGGGUAAAGGGGGCGUAGGCGGGUAAGUAAGUCAGGUGUGAAAGCCUGGGGCUCAACCACAGGACUGCUUUGGAAACUGUUUCUCUGGAGUAUAGGAGGGGUAGGUGGAAUUCCUGGUGUAGGGGUGAAAUGCGUAGAGAUCAAGAGGAAUAC
rnacentral:rRNA from 1 species